GCUCCGGUGACGUAGUGGUUAGAGAGUCUGCCUCGGAUGCGGGAGGUCGCGGGUUCGAACCCCGACUGAGCCA